rnacentral:rRNA from 1 species
UACGAAGGGGGCUAGCGUUGCUCGGAAUCACUGGGCGUAAAGGGUGCGUAGUCGGGUCUUUAAGUCAGAGGUGAAAUCCUGGAGCUCAACUCCAGAACUGCCUUUGAUACUGAAGAUCUUGAGUUCGGGAGAGGUGAGUGGAACUGCGAGUGUAGAGGUGAAAUUCGUAGAUAUUCGCAAGAACACCAGUGGCGAAGGCGGCUCACUGGCCCGAUACUGACGCUGAGGCACGAAAGCGUGGGGAGCAAACAGG